rnacentral:rRNA from 1 species
GUUAUAUGGUCAAGUGAAGAAGCGCAUACGGUGGAUGCUUGGCAGUCAGAGGCGAUGAAAGACGUGGUAGCCUGCGAAAAGCUUCGGGGAGUCGGCAAACAGACUGUGAUCCGGAGAUGUCUGAAUGGGGGAACCCAGCCAUCACAAGAUGGUUAUCUUACACUGAAUACAUAGGUGUAAGAGGCGAACCAGGGGAACUGAAACAUCUAAGUACCCUGAGGAAAAGAAAUCAACCGAGAUUCCCUUAGUAGUGGCGAGCGAACGGGGACCAGCCCUUAAGUUGUAUUGAGAUUAGCGGAACGCUCUGGAAAGUGCGGCCAUAGUGGGUGAUAGCCCUGUACGCGAAAAUCCCUUUGCAAUGAAAUCGAGUAGGACGGGGCACGAGAAACCUUGUCUGAAUAUGGGGGGACCAUCCUCCAAGGCUAAAUACUACUGACUGACCGAUAGUGAACCAGUACCGUGAGGGAAAGGCGAAAAGAACCGCGGAGAGCGGAGUGAAAUAGAUCCUGAAACCGUAUGCGUACAAGCAGUGGGAGCCCACUUUGUUGGGUGACUGCGUACCUUUUGUAUAAUGGGUCAGCGACUUAUUUUCAGUGGCGAGCUUAACCGAAUAGGGGAGGCGUAGCGAAAGCGAGUCUUAAUAGGGCGUCUAGUCGCUGGGAAUAGACCCGAAACCGGGCGAUCUAUCCAUGGGCAGGUUGAAGGUUGGGUAACACUAACUGGAGGACCGAACCGACUACCGUUGAAAAGUUAGCGGAUGACCUGUGGAUCGGAGUGAAAGGCUAAUCAAGCUCGGAGAUAGCUGGUUCUCCUCGAAAGCUAUUUAGGUAGCGCCUCAUGUAUCACUGUAGGGGGUAGAGCACUGUUUCGGCUAGGGGGUCAUCCCGACUUACCAAACCGAUGCAAACUCCGAAUACCUACAAGUGCCGAGCAUGGGAGACACACGGCGGGUGCUAACGUCCGUCGUGAAAAGGGAAACAACCCAGACCGUCAGCUAAGGUCCCAAAGUCAUGGUUAAGUGGGAAACGAUGUGGGAAGGCUUAGACAGCUAGGAGGUUGGCUUAGAAGCAGCCACCCUUUAAAGAAAGCGUAAUAGCUCACUAGUCGAGUCGGCCUGCGCGGAAGAUGUAACGGGGCUCAAACCAUGCACCGAAGCUACGGGUAUCACCUUUGGUGAUGCGGUAGAGGAGCGUUCUGUAAGCCUGUGAAGGUGAGUUGAGAAGCUUGCUGGAGGUAUCAGAAGUGCGAAUGCUGACAUGAGUAACGACAAUGGGUGUGAAAAACACCCACGCCGAAAGACCAAGGUUUCCUGCGCAACGUUAAUCGACGCAGGGUUAGUCGGUCCCUAAGGCGAGGCUGAAAAGCGUAGUCGAUGGAAAACAGGUUAAUAUUCCUGUACUUCUGGUUAUUGCGAUGGAGGGACGGAGAAGGCUAGGCCAGCCUGGCGUUGGUAGUCCAGGUUUAAGGUGGUAGGCUGAGAUCUUAGGUAAAUCCGGGAUCUUAAGGCCGAGAGCUGAUGACGAGUGUUCUUUUAGAACAUGAAGUGGUUGAUGCCAUGCUUCCAAGAAAAGCUUCUAAGCUUCAGGUAACCAGGAACCGUACCCCAAACCGACACAGGUGGUUGGGUAGAGAAUACCAAGGCGCUUGAGAGAACUCGGGUGAAGGAACUAGGCAAAAUGGCACCGUAACUUCGGGAGAAGGUGCGCCGGUGAGGGUGAAGCAUUUACUGCGUAAGCCCACGCCGGUCGAAGAUACCAGGCCGCUGCGACUGUUUAUUAAAAACACAGCACUCUGCAAACACGAAAGUGGACGUAUAGGGUGUGACGCCUGCCCGGUGCCGGAAGGUUAAUUGAUGGGGUUAGCGCAAGCAAAGCUCUUGAUCGAAGCCCCGGUAAACGGCGGCCGUAACUAUAACGGUCCUAAGGUAGCGAAAUUCCUUGUCGGGUAAGUUCCGACCUGCACGAAUGGCGUAACGAUGGCGGCGCUGUCUCCACCCGAGACUCAGUGAAAUUGAAAUCGCUGUGAAGAUGCAGUGUAUCCGCGGCUAGACGGAAAGACCCCGUGAACCUUUACUAUAGCUUUGCACUGGACUUUGAAUUUGCUUGUGUAGGAUAGGUGGGAGGCUUUGAAGCGUGGACGCCAGUCUGCGUGGAGCCAACCUUGAAAUACCACCCUGGCAACUUUGAGGUUCUAACUCAGGUCCGUUAUCCGGAUCGAGGACAGUGUAUGGUGGGUAGUUUGACUGGGGCGGUCUCCUCCUAAAGAGUAACGGAGGAGUACGAAGGUGCGCUCAGACCGGUCGGAAAUCGGUCGUAGAGUAUAAAGGCAAAAGCGCGCUUGACUGCGAGACAGACACGUCGAGCAGGUACGAAAGUAGGUCUUAGUGAUCCGGUGGUUCUGUAUGGAAGGGCCAUCGCUCAACGGAUAAAAGGUACUCCGGGGAUAACAGGCUGAUACCGCCCAAGAGUUCAUAUCGACGGCGGUGUUUGGCACCUCGAUGUCGGCUCAUCACAUCCUGGGGCUGAAGCCGGUCCCAAGGGUAUGGCUGUUCGCCAUUUAAAGUGGUACGCGAGCUGGGUUUAGAACGUCGUGAGACAGUUCGGUCCCUAUCUGCCGUGGACGUUUGAGAUUUGAGAGGGGCUGCUCCUAGUACGAGAGGACCGGAGUGGACGAACCUCUGGUGUUCCGGUUGUCACGCCAGUGGCAUUGCCGGGUAGCUAUGUUCGGAAAAGAUAACCGCUGAAAGCAUCUAAGCGGGAAACUUGCCUCAAGAUGAGAUCUCACUGGAACCUUGAGUUCCCUGAAGGGCCGUCGAAGACUACGACGUUGAUAGGUUGGGUGUGUAAGCGCUGUGAGGCGUUGAGCUAACCAAUACUAAUUGCCCGUGAGGCUUGACCAUAUAACACCCAAGCAAUU